CUGCAUCAUCGACCGACCAUGAUCUUCUGUGAAAGGUUUGAGUACGAGCAUACCUGUUGGGACCCGAAAGAUGGUGAACUAUGCCUGAGCAGGGCGAAGCCAGAGGAAACUCUGGUGGAGGCUCGUAGAUGUGCUGACGUGCAAAUCGCUUUUCGGACUUGGGUAUAGGGGCGAAAGACUAAUCGAACCAUUAUCAAGCUGCGUGGUGGUUAAGAGCGGCCCGAAAGGAGACCGCUAGUGGGUGGGGGGUGCGCCCCUCUCCCGCAACACCGUCAAAUUGCGGGGACGUCAAGUCGACGCUCAGUCACCGGUCGUCCGGCUGUGUAAGCCCACGACCACCAGGGUAAUGACCUCGGGUACGGUAAAAGCACUGAGCAGAUUGAUAAUCCGCAGCCAAGCCCGGAGGCCGGGGUGGUGGGGGGGGCAUCCCUCCCCCCACGCCCGGCGCAAGGGUGCAGUUCACAGACUGAAUGGCGGUGGGUGGACGGCCGGAAGCGCGCCGUCCGCUUAAGAUACAGUCGGACCCCUCAGCGAUGAGGCCGGCGGGAGGACGCGCGCUUGAUUGAGCGCGCCGAGAGCCCGUCCGGGGCAGCGGUCAAAUACUUCCGCUCCGCAAUGGGGGGGAAGGGCGGAUGCGGGCGCAGCAUCGAUGCAGUGCCCGCAGCCGCCUCGCUGCCGGAGUGCGUCCCCUUGGGGGGCGCGGAUCGCUAGUAGCUGGUUCCCUCCGAAGUUUCCCCCAGGAUAGCUGGAGCUCGGUCAGUUUUAUCGGGUAAAGCGAAUGAUUAGAGGCACCGGGGAUGAAACAUCCUCGGCCUAUUCUCAAACUUUAAAUAGGUAAGACGUCUGGGUUGCUUAAUUGAACCCAGGCACUCAAUGAGAGCUCCAAGUGGGCC
rnacentral:rRNA from 1 species